UGUAAUGGGCGAAGCCUGACCGCCUCUCCGCGCUGAGUGAAGAAGGCCUUCGGGUUGUAAAGCUCUUUCGCAAGGGAAGAAACGAUGCAGUCGAAUAAACUGUGUUAAUGACGGUACCUUGAUAAGAAGCACCGGCUAACUACGUGCCAGCAGCCGCGGUAAUACGUAGGGUGCAAGCGUUAAUCGGAAUUACUGGGCGUAAAGCGUGCGCAGGCGGUUUUGUAAGUCAGAUGUGAAAUCCCCGAGCUCAACUUGGGAACUGCGUUUGAAACUACAAGACUAGAAUAUGUCAGAGGGGGGUAGAAUUCCACGUGUAGCAGUGAAAUGCGUAGAGAUGUGGAGGAAUACCAAUGGCGAAGGCAGCCCCCUGGGAUAAUAUUGACGCUCAUGCACGAAAG
rnacentral:rRNA from 1 species